GACGAACGCUGGCGGCGUGCUUAACACAUGCAAGUCGAACGGAAAGGCCCUGCUUUUGUGGGGUGCUCGAGUGGCGAACGGGUGAGUAACACGUGAGUAACCUGCCCUUGACUUUGGGAUAACUUCAGGAAACUGGGGCUAAUACCGGAUAGGAGCUCCUGCUGCAUGGUGGGGGUUGGAAAGUUUCGGCGGUUGGGGAUGGACUCGCGGCUUAUCAGCUUGUUGGUGGGGUAGUGGCUUACCAAGGCUUUGGCGGGUAGCCGGCCUGAGAGGGUGAACGGCGACAUUGGGCCUGAGAGACGGCGCAGACUCCUACGGGAGGCAGCAGUGGGGAAUAUUACACAAUGGGCGGAAGCCUGAUGCAGCAGCGCCGCGUGCGGGAUGACGGCCUUCGGGUUGUAAACCGCUUUCGCCUGUGACGAAGCGUGAGUGACGGUAAUGGGUAAAGAAGCACCGGCUAACUACGUG
rnacentral:rRNA from 1 species